CCCUUAGAUGUUCUGGGCCGCACGCGCGCUACACUGAUACAAGCAACGAGUAGUUUUCCGAAAUCGACCUUGAUCGGAAGAUCCGGGGAAUCUUGUGAAAUUGUAUCGUGAUAGGGCUUGACGAUUGUAAUUAUUUGUCACAAACGAGGAAUUCCUAGUAAGCGCAAGUCAUCAACUUGCACUGAUUGCGUCCCUGCCCUUUGUACACACCGCCCGUCGCUCCUACCGAUUGAAUGUUAAGGCGAAUGCUUCGGAUUCGCGGCUCUGCUUGGGAAACCUUUUGGAGCCAACGAAGAAGUUGUGUAAGCCUUGACAUUUAGAGGAAGGAAAAGUCGUAACA
rnacentral:rRNA from 1 species